rnacentral:rRNA from 1 species
GAGUUUGAUCCUGGCUCAGAUUGAACGCUGGCGGCAUGCCUAACACAUGCAAGUCGAACGGGGUAGCAAUACCCAGUGGCGGACGGGUGAGGAAUACGUAGGAAUCUGCCCUUAAGUGGGGGAUAGUCCGGGGAAACUCGGUUUAAUACCGCAUGAUCUCGCAAGAGCAAAGCAGGGGGACCGCAAGGCCUUGCGCUUUUGGAGGAGCCUACGUCGGAUUAGCUAGUUGGUAGGGUAAUGGCCUACCAAGGCGACGAUCCGUAGCUGGUCUGAGAGGACGAUCAGCCACACCGGAACUGAGACACGGUCCGGACUCCUACGGGAGGCAGCAGUGGGGAAUAUUGGACAAUGGGCGAAAGCCUGAUCCAGCAAUGCCGCGUGUGUGAAGAAGGCCUU